rnacentral:rRNA from 1 species
CGGUUGAUCCUGCCGGAGGCCACUGCUAUUGGAGUCCGACUAAGCCAUGCGAGUUCUGGUGCUUCGGCACCGGCGGACGGCUCAGUAACACGUGGACAACCUGCCCUCGGGAGGGGGAUAACCCUGGGAAACUGGGGCUAAACCCCCAUAGGCCAUGGGUGCUGGAAGGCCCUGUGGCUGAAAUUCCGCAAGGAGCCCGAGGAUGGGUCUGCGGCCUAUCAGGUUGUAGUGGGGGUAACGGCCCCACUAGCCUACGACGGGUACGGGCCUUGGGAGAGGGAGCCCGGAGAUGGACUCUGAGACACGAGUCCAGGCCCUACGGGGCGCAGCAGGCGCGAAACCUCCGCAAUGCUCGAAAGAGCGACGGGGGGACUCCAAGUGCCUACGCUCAGCGUAGGCUGUUCCCGAGCCUAAAAAGCUCGGGGAGUAAGGGCUGGGUAAGACGGGUGCCAUCUGUGACGGCAGUCAAAGAUUUGACUUGCCGUUGCAAGGCAUAAGCCGCCGCGGUAAUACCCGCAGCCCGAGUGGUGGCCGCUAUUAUUGGGCCUAAAGCGUCCGUAGCCGGCUCGGUAAAUGCCUGGGUAAAUCGUCUGGCCCAACCAGGCGAAUUCCGGGUAGACUGCCGGGCUAGGGACCGGAGGAGGGAGAGGGUACUCCAGGGGUAGGGGUGAAAU